CCAGAAGAAUAGAUGAACCGAACCAAGAACCAAUCCCAACAGAAUCGUCUCGAUGCAGUUCACUAUCCAAAUGUGCCUCCGGAGUCCGGAUCCUCCCAAAAUCUGAAGGAAUGUUCCUGUUCCGAUGGAUCUCGGCCAAGACAGAUAUGCAGAGUAUUCUUUCUUCUGUUCCUUCGGACAAGAAGGAGCAUAAGAGCAUCUAAAAUAAGCUCUCGGCGAUGGAUUAUCUUUUGUGACCUUCUGACCAUAUUUCCUCCAUUGGUAACCAUCUCUGACCAUCUGAAAGAAAACAGAACCUUAGGUAACUGAUUCCAUUAAAAAAAAAAAAAGCAAACAGAUUCUUCUAUUGAUCUAACAUUAAAAAAAAUUCUCACCGGGCUUGAAUCGGAUGCAUCGACUCUCGUAUAAGUUGUGUGGGCAUUAUUGGGCUCGAUAUCUUCUCUCAAUCUCUUGCAUGAAGGCCUGGUUAUAUCAUUCUCAGUCUGAUUUCUGGUUUCAUGAAUUCUAUCAAAAAGAGAAUCAUUGUUUCUGUUCAUUUCAGUGUUUUGAAUCUUCCUCUUUCCUGUCAUUG